rnacentral:rRNA from 1 species
CAGCACCUCAAGUGGUCAGGAUGAUUAUUGGGCCUAAAGCAUCCGUAGCCGGCUCUGUAAGUUUUCGGUUAAAUCUGUACGCUCAACGUACAGGCUGCCGGGAAUACUGCAGAGCUAGGGAGUGGGAGAGGUAGACGGUACUCGGUAGGAAGGGGUAAAAUCCUUUGAUCUAUUGAUGACCACCUGUGGCAAAGGCGGUCUACCAGAACACGUCCGACGGUGAGGGAUGAAAGCUGGGGGAGCAAACCGGAUUAGAUACCCGAGUAGUCC